GAGUUUGAUCUUGGCUCAGAUUGAACGCUGGCGGCAGGCCCUAACACAUGCCAAGUCGAGCGGAUGACGGGAGCUUGCUCCUUGAUUCAGCGGCGGACGGGUGAGUAAUGCCUAGGAAUCCUGCCUGGUAGUGGGGGACAACGUUUCGAAAGGAACGCUAAUACCGCAUACGUCCUACGGGAGAAAGCAGGGGACCUUCGGGCCUUGCGCUAUCCAGAAUGAGCCUAGGUC
rnacentral:rRNA from 1 species